GAGACGGAGGAUUCGUCAAAGUCUUGAUGGCGACCGGCGCAAGGGUGCGUAACGCGUGAGCAACUUGCCCGUUUCAGGGGGAUAACCGGUGGAAACGCCGACUAAUACCCCAUAGUAUGUUUUUAAGGCAUCUUUUAAACAUUAAAGAAAUUCGGAAACGGAUAGGCUCGCGUGACAUUAGCUAGAUGGCGGGGUAACGGCCCACCAUGGCAACGAUGUCUAGGGGUUCUGAGAGGAAGGUCCCCCACAUUGGAACUGAGACACGGUCCAAACUCCUACGGGAGGCAGCAGUGAGGAAUAUUGGUCAAUGGACGGAAGUCUGAACCAGCCAAGUAGCGUGAAGGAUGACUGCCCUAUGGGUUGUAAACUUCUUUUGUCGUGGAACAAAACCUGCCACGUGUGGCAUUUUGCGUGUACACGUUGAAUAAGCAUCGGCUAACUCCGUG
rnacentral:rRNA from 1 species